UUCUUGUAUAAAUAUAAAGUAUGACCUGCCCACUGAUUAAUUUUGAAGGGCCGCGGUAUUUUGACCGUGCAAAGGUAGCAUAAUCAUUAGUCCUUUAAUUGUGGACUGGAAUGAAUGGUUGGACGAGGAAUAUACUGUUUCUUAUUAUUUUAUUUGAAUUUAAUUUUUAAGUUAAAAAGCUUAAAUUUAUUUAUGGGACGAGAAGACCCUAUAGAGUUUAUACAUAUUUUUAUAUUUAUUUUGUUUGAUUAUUUUUAUUAAAUAAUUGAUAUGUUUUGUUGGGGUGAUAGGAAGAAUUAAUUAACUCUUUUUUGUUUUAUACAUUUAUUUAUGAUAAAUUGAUCCAAUUUUAUUGAUUAUAAGAUUAAAUUACCUUAGGGAUAACAGCGUAAUCUUUUCUGAGAGUUCUUAUCGAUGAAUGGGUUUGCGACCUCGAUGUUGGAUUAAGAUUUAAUUUGGGUGUAGAAUUUCAAUUGUUUAGGUCUGUUCGACCUUUAAAAU
rnacentral:rRNA from 1 species